AACGAACGCUGGCGGCGCGCCUAACACAUGCAAGUCGAACGAGAAUCCGGGGCAACCCGGUAGUAAAGUGGCAAACGGGUGAGGAAUACAUGGGUAACCUACCCUUGAGAAGGGAAUAACCCGCCGAAAGGUGAGCUAAUACCCUAUACGCUAUCUUUUUUUCGAAAGGAAUAGGAAAGCCGGGUCGAGGACCUGGUACUCAAGGAGGGGCUCAUGUCCUAUCAGCUUGUUGGUGGGGUAACGGCUCACCAAGGCAACGAUCAGUAGCCGGUCUGAGAGGAUGAACGGCCACACUGGGACUGAGACACGGCCCAGACUCCUACGGGAGGCAGCAGUGGGGAAUCUUCCGCAAUGGACGAAAGUCUGACGGAGCAACGCCGCGUGGAUGAAGAAGGUCUUCGGAUUGUAAAGUCCUGUUUUUAGGGUAAGAAUGUGCCGGUAGUGAAUAAUUACAGGCAAUGACGGUACCUAAAGAGGAAGUCACGGCUAACUACGUGCCAGCAGCCGCGGU
rnacentral:rRNA from 1 species